UAGGGAAUCUUCCACAAUGGACGAAAGUCUGAUGGAGCAACGCCGCGUGAGUGAUGAAGGGUUUCGGCUCGUAAAACUCUGUUGUUGGAGAAGAACGGGUGUCAGAGUAACUGCUGACAUCGUGACGGUAUCCAACCAGAAAGCCACGGCUAACUACGUGCCAGCAGCCGCGGUAAUACGUAGGUGGCAAGCGUUGUCCGGAUUUAUUGGGCGUAAAGCGAGCGCAGGCGGUUUUUUAGGUCUGAUGUGAAAGCCUUCGGCUUAACCGGAGAAGUGCAUCGGAAACCGGGAGACUUGAGUGCAGAAGAGGACAGUGGAACUCCAUGUGUAGCGGUGAAAUGCGUAGAUAUAUGGAAGAACACCAGUGGCGAAGGCGGCUGUCUGGUCUGCAACUGACGCUGAGGCUCGAAAGCAUGGGUAGCGAACAGGAUUAGAUACCCUGGUAGUCCAUGCCGUAAACGAUGAGUGCUAAGUGUUGGAGGGUUUCCGCCCUUCAGUGCUGCAGUUAACGCAUUAAGCACUCCGCCUGGGGGAGUACGACCGCAAGGUUGAAAC
rnacentral:rRNA from 1 species